UGGUCCCACCAUUUGACCCGACAUGCGCGUAGCUGGUCAUUAGCUAAUGCUAACAAUGACAUAGUCCUGUUAACUAUGCUUCAAAAUAACAGGAGUCACGGUAAUUGGUUUCUUAUUAACCAAGGCAUACUUAACCAUUAUACUUGUUGAGUUACUUCAUUAACAACAAAUUUUCAAAUCAGGGUGCUUGGAGACUUCAGAGCAUACAACUUUUAAAUUCAACCCAAGUCAUUGCGCUACACGUGCACUGCAGAGCGUGCGAGGAUCGGUGAUCACAGGAUCUAUGGAUCUCCGUUUUAUUAACAGAUUUCUUGAGAAUAGAUGGGCGUACCUAGCAACCGUGGUUUGAGUGUGAUGGCUACAAGUACUAACAGUUCUUAGAAGACUACUAUAGCUAGACAUUAUUCACACAUGUUAAUGUGUCUAUCGGUUAUCAAGUUUUUAGUUUCAUUGUGAUGUUUGUGUUGUUUAAGUAAUUAUACCAAUGGAUACUGGCAGCUACCUUUCUCAUUAUGGUGUUUUUAUGUCUAUAAUAUAUCCUACUACCUUUCUCA